UUCCUGGUGGCUAAGACCCUGCACUCCCAAUGCAGGGGGCCCAGGUUCAAUCCCUGGUCAGGGAA
rnacentral:tRNA from 1 species